CCUCCUCUACAAAUGAAGAGUGGAGACAGAAGCCAGAGUCACAGUUCAGUCCAGCAGAAGAGCUCAGAUUCAGCAGAGCCCAGCUGUGUGUCCAUGAAAAGUGACUGGUCUAUGGAUCCUCCUCUACAAAUGAAGAGUGGAGACCAAAGCCAGAGACACAGUUUGGAUCAGCAGAAGAGAUCAGAUUCAGCAGAGCCCAGCUGUGUGUCUAUGAAGAGUGACUGGUCUAUGGAUCCUCCUCUACAAAUGAAGAGUGGAGACCAAAGCCAGAGACACAGUUUGGAUCAGCAGAAGAGAUCAGAUUCAGCAGAGCCCAGCUGUGUGUCUAUGAAGAGUGACUGGUCUAUGGAUCCUCCUCUACAAAUGAAGAGUGGAGACAGAAGCCAGAGUCACAGUUCAGUCCAGCAGAAGAGCUCAGAUUCAGCAGAGCCCAGCUGUGUGUCCAUGAAAAGUGACUGGUCUAUGGAUCCUCCUCUACAAAUGAAGAGUGGAGACCAAAGCCAGAGACACAGUUUGGAUCAGCAGAAGAGAUCAGAUUCAGCAGAGCCCAGCUGUGUGUCUAUGAAGAGUGACUGGUCUAUGGAUCCACCAAUGAAGUUUAACAGUGGAGAUACACAGCCUGGUCUCAGUUCAGUUCAUCAGAAGAGACCAGAAGCAGAGUCCAGCUGUGUGUCUAUGAAAAGUGACUGGUCUAUGGAUCCACCAAUGAAGUUUAACAGUGGAGAUACACAGCCUGGUCUCAGUUCAGUUCAUCAGAAGAGACCAGAAGCAGAGUCCAGCUGUGUGUCUAUGAAGAGUGACUGGUCUAUGGAUCCACCAAUGAAGUUUAACAGUGGAGAUACACAGCCUGGUCUCAGGUAUAAUGUUUGUAUAAAAAUAUUAUUAUAAAAUGACAUUUAAUAUGGACAUAUAUUAUCACAAUUAAGUUCACAGUUUUUUUAUAAACAGUAUAUGAAAUUACUAUAAAGUGCCCUUUAAAGGGGUCAUAUGAUGCAAUUUCAAUUUUCCCUUUCUCUUUGGAGUGUUACAAGCUCUUGGUGCAUAAAGAAGAUCUGUAAAACUGCAAAGAAUAAAAACUCAAAUCUAAAGAGAUAUUCUUUAUAA
ensembl:lncRNA